ensembl:snRNA U6 U6 spliceosomal RNA
GUGCUUGCUUCAGCAGCACAGAUACUAAAAUUGGAACGAUACCAAAAAGAUUAGCAUGGCUCCUGCUCAAGGAGAACACGCAAAUACAUGACGUGUUCUGUAUUUUU